AGUCUCCAGGUCAACUGGUCUGUUACCGUUCCCCUGCAUGCAAAGCACAUGACGACUUGAGAUAUUUUCAUGAACACUAACUUCCUGUAUAACCCCCUGGGAUGUUUGCAUGAGCUCUUUACUUCCUGUGCCUGCAUUGCCGAGCAGAUCUAGGAGAAGCAGGGAAAUUUGAAGAACUGUUGUACCCUGUCUUGGCAAAGUUCAGCAGUCACUUUUGUGUCGUGCUAGUCCAGACUGAACAACAACUAAUGCAGUGGCAGUUUCUUUGUCAUAUGGAUAGCGCUUGCCAUUAAGAAAGCAAGUUCCAUAUGGAGUUUCUUAUAUGACUAUCAUUCUUUUUGAAGUUAUUGGUGUUGCCAGGAGCAGACAUAUCUUACUGGCUUUCUCAUAAGCAGCAUGGGACUCCCCUCACCUGCUGCCACAUGGAACUUUGUGCUGUGACUUUAGUCUACCUCGGAUCUAAGGCAAACCUGGAAGUACAUCUGCUUCUUUUUAGCUUCUUAGACAAGCAUAUAGAAGUCGUCCAUGCUAUGGACUAACACUAAAAUAACGAUCUAAAUUAAAGCCAUCAGUGUUUGCCGGUUUUUACACACUGCAGGCAGUUGUUUGGAUGUCAGGAUAUCAACACUUGUGCAGUGAACGGUCUUGUCACAAUCUGUAAUCAUUCUGUCACUACCCAGGAUUUGGAAAGAUUGUGCUUCUUAGGAUGCAAUGGCUACAAAAGAGAGAAAAGAAAAACAAAACAGAAGAGCAGAAACGAAAACUGAGAAACAGAUUCCUUCUGUAAAUCAUUAGUAAAGAGUGGAGAGAUUGAAUUCUUUGUACUUAUUCCUUGGAUUUUCACAGCUGGUGGGGGAGCCAGUUUGGGACGCCACUGAAAAGUGCAAACUGGAUAAUUUACAAACAAUCGACACUCAGUCCUUACCACCCUGGAGCUGAGGUGCUCAGCACAAACGGCCCUACUGAGCAUCUUCUUGCUGGCUGCAGACAGCUGUCUCAUGGCCUUUCAUGGUGGAGCGAGGGAGUCUUUUGGGGCCCUUUUCACAAGAACAUUAGUUUCAUGCUUUGGGCUUCCCCCAAAGCACAAUUACAGAUCAAAGACCCUACCUCAAAUGCCAUCAUACUCAGAGUUAGGAUCCAAUGUGUGAAGCUGACUGGGGUAGGGCACAUUCCAUCACAUGGUUCUGGGUAUUCAUGUCUGACCUUGCAAUGAACACUUCCAAGUAAG